rnacentral:lncRNA from 1 species
AUAGGGGGAGAUCGCGAACGUCAGGUCUUCCCAGUAUGAAAAUGUGAUGCAAGGGGUAGGUCACGUUCUGAAUACUGUUUUAUAUUUUAUAUUUUACAAUGUGUUCAAGUUUGCUGUACGUUACGGAUUUAUACAUGUCUUUUGUCAUCGACAGCCAUCAGUACCAUUAAGCCCUGCACAACUACCGUGCUGUUUCUCAUUUAACAACAGGGUCGAGCAUGCCGGACACUGUUGCUGUUAUCACGAGAUGGGGCCCCCGCAGGCUUGUGGUUGGGCCAGUUCCUAUUAUGUGCUGCAAGUGGAAACAUCAGUUUGCUUGUGCCCAUGGGAAGUGAAUGCAGUGGAUCCCUGUUUGUAACGAGCACAUGGCUACUGAGGAAACGUAUGAGAUGACUGAAAGAAUGACUCUUGCCUCCUGGGCUGCACGACUUCCUGUGCCCCUCUGUGUUUGAUUUUGGUAUUGGAUUGUCUUUUUUACUUGCAUUGGCUGAAUAAAAUGUCAUUUUAAGAUGGAACCAACUAAGCUGUUUCCUAUUAAAAGUCACCCCUUUCAGGAAACUAGGCGUAUGUCACGGGUCACUACCACAGGAGAACAGUUGGACCUUUUUUUAUCAAAAUGCGGGGGGGUUUUGGGGCAGAAAUGCCUUCUUGAACAUGUGAACUUUCAUGUGCCUUAAGAACAAACUUGUAUGCCAUCUGUAAAUACAAAUUAAAUUAUUAAAUUAGGAGCCUAGUUGGUUUAGCCACAGAAAAAGAGAGAAACCUUCCUGAUAGCCAUGAUCGGCUGAGAUAAUGAGUGGGCUGGACAUGCUGAAAGAUGAGUUUGGAUUUGUCUGCCAUAUAACAUGCUAAGGUCUAUUUGAGCUGGUCAAUAUGUCUAGGUAAUCCUGUCUAAUGCAUUUAAAAAAAAAUGCAUUGUGUAUUAAAACUG